rnacentral:tRNA from 2 species
GGGGGCGUAGCUCAGUUGGGAGAGCGCUACACUGGCAGUGUAGAGGUCAUGGGUUCGAAUCCCACCGUCUCCA